rnacentral:rRNA from 1 species
AGAGUUUGAUCAUGGCUCAGGACGAACGCUGGCGGCGUGCUUAACACAUGCAAGUCGAACGGAAAGGCCCUUCGGGGUACUCGAGUGGCGAACGGGUGAGUAACACGUGGGUGAUCUGCCCUGCACUUUGGGAUAAGCCUGGGAAACUGGGUCUAAUACCGAAUAGGACCGCGCGCUUCAUGGUGUGUGGUGGAAAGCUUUUGCGGUGUGGGAUGGGCCCGCGGCCUAUCAGCUUGUUGGUGGGGUAAUGGCCUACCAAGGCGACGACGGGUAGCCGGCCUGAGAGGGUGACCGGCCACACUGGGACUGAGAUACGGCCCAGACUCCUACGGGAGGCAGCAGUGGGGAAUAUUGCACAAUGGGCGCAAGCCUGAUGCAGCGACGCCGCGUGAGGGAUGACGGCCUUCGGGUUGUAAACCUCUUUCACCAGGGACGAAGCGCAAGUGACGGUACCUGGAGAAGAAGCACCGGCCAACUACGUGCCAGCAGCCGCGGUAAUACGUAGGGUGCGAGCGUUGUCCGGAAUUACUGGGCGUAAAGAGCUCGUAGGUGGUUUGUCGCGUUGUUCGUGAAAACUCACAGCUUAACUGUGGGCGUGCGGGCGAUACGGGCAGACUAGAGUACUGCAGGGGAGACUGGAAUUCCUGGUGUAGCGGUGGAAUGCGCAGAUAUCAGGAGGAACACCGGUGGCGAAGGCGGGUCUCUGGGCAGUAACUGACGCUGAGGAGCGAAAGCGUGGGGAGCGAACAGGAUUAGAUACCCCGGUAGUCCAA